rnacentral:rRNA from 1 species
AUUGAACGCUGGCGGCAGGCCUAACACAUGCAAGUCGAGCGAGCGGCGGAAGGGUGAGUAAUGUAUGGGGACUGCCCGCUAGAGGGGGAUAACUACUGGACACGGUGGCUAAUACCGCAUACUAUCGGAUAACCCAUAUGGGAUUAGCUAGUAGGUGGGGUAAAGGCUCACCUAGGCGACGAUCUCUAGCUGGUCUGAGCGGCGGAUCAGCCACACUGGGACGGAGACACGGCCCAGACUCCUACGGAGGCAGCAGUGGGGAAUAUUGCACAAUGGGCGCAAGCCUGAUGCAGCCAUGCCGCGUGUAUGAGGAGGGCCUUAGUGUUGUAAAGUACGUUCAGCGGGGAGGCGUUACCCGCAGAAGAAGCACCGGCUAACUCCGUGCCAGCAGCCGCGGUAAUUC